UUAAAUUGAAGAGUUUGAUCAUGGCUCAGAUUGAACGCUGGCGGCAGGCCUAACACAUGCAAGUCGAACGGUAACAGGAAGCAGCUUGCUGCUUCGCUGACGAGUGGCGGACGGGUGAGUAAUGUCUGGGAAACUGCCUGAUGGAGGGGGAUAACUACUGGAAACGGUAGCUAAUACCGCAUAACGUCGCAAGACCAAAGGGGGGGACCUUCGGGCCUCUUGCCAUCGGAUGUGCCCAGAUGGGAUUAGCUUGUUGGUGGGGUAACGGCUCACCAAGGCGACGAUCCCUAGCUGGUCUGAGAGGAUGACCAGCCACACUGGAACUGAGACACGGUCCAGACUCCUACGGGAGGCAGCAGUGGGGAAUAUUGCACAAUGGGCGCAAGCCUGAUGCAGCCAUGCCGCGUGUAUGAAGAAGGCCUUCGGGUUGUAAAGUACUUUCAGCGGGGAGGAAGGGAGUAAAGUUAAUACCUUUGCUCAUUGACGUUACCCGCAGAAGAAGCACCGGCUAACUCCGUGCCAGCAGCCGCGGUAAUACGGAGGGUGCAAGCGUUAAUCGGAAUUACUGGGCGUAAAGCGCACGCAGGCGGUUUGUUAAGUCAGAUGUGAAAUCCCCGGGCUCAACCUGGGAACUGCAUCUGAUACUGGCAAGCUUGAGUCUCGUAGAGGGGGGUAGAAUUCCAGGUGUAGCGGUGAAAUGCGUAGAGAUCUGGAGGAAUACCGGUGGCGAAGGCGGCCCCCUGGACGAAGACUGACGCUCAGGUGCGAAAGCGUGGGGAGCAAACAGGAUUAGAUACCCUGGUAGUCCACGCCGUAAACGAUGUCGACUUGGAGGUUGUGCCCUUGAGGCGUGGCUUCCGGAGCUAACGCGUUAAGUCGACCGCCUGGGGAGUACGGCCGCAAGGUUAAAACUCAAAUGAAUUGACGGGGGCCCGCACAAGCGGUGGAGCAUGUGGUUUAAUUCGAUGCAACGCGAAGAACCUUACCUGGUCUUGACAUCCACGGAAGUUUUCAGAGAUGAGAAUGUGCCUUCGGGAACCGUGAGACAGGUGCUGCAUGGCUGUCGUCAGCUCGUGUUGUGAAAUGUUGGGUUAAGUCCCGCAACGAGCGCAACCCUUAUCCUUUGUUGCCAGCGGUCCGGCCGGGAACUCAAAGGAGACUGCCAGUGAUAAACUGGAGGAAGGUGGGGAUGACGUCAAGUCAUCAUGGCCCUUACGACCAGGGCUACACACGUGCUACAAUGGCGCAUACAAAGAGAAGCGACCUCGCGAGAGCAAGCGGACCUCAUAAAGUGCGUCGUAGUCCGGAUUGGAGUCUGCAACUCGACUCCAUGAAGUCGGAAUCGCUAGUAAUCGUGGAUCAGAAUGCCACGGUGAAUACGUUCCCGGGCCUUGUACACACCGCCCGUCACACCAUGGGAGUGGGUUGCAAAAGAAGUAGGUAGCUUAACCUUCGGGAGGGCGCUUACCACUUUGUGAUUCAUGACUGGGGUGAAGUCGUAACAAGGUAACCGUAGGGGAACCUGCGGUUGGAUCACCUCCUUACCUUAAAGAAGC
rnacentral:rRNA from 1 species